CCAGGUUAACUCCGUUGGUAGAGAGCUCCACUGGAAAUGGAGAGGUCCCUGGUUCGAUACCAGGACGCAGGC
rnacentral:tRNA from 1 species